rnacentral:tmRNA from 1 species
GGGGGCGAAAAGGUCUCGACGGGUUUGCAAAGACAAUUGCUGCGUGUCGCGGUGCGGGUGGCCGCGUUAUCAACCCGCUAAAUAAUAAGUGCCGACGAUCAUGUCGAGUACGCCCUCGCUGCCUGAUAGCUUUUAGCUAUUAGUUAACGAGGCGGUGCCCUUCCUGCGCCGAUCCGGGAAGGCGUGCCACUAAACAGAUCGGCUGGCUGUGGGCGUUGCUCGGUGACCCACGGCGAGAGACGUCGAGCUGGCCUCAAGGAUUGGCUGAACGGCGCCUACCCUUGGGGUGAGAUUUGCAUAGCCGUUCUACACACGUAGAUGCGUUGUUGGACCACUCCCGGACCCGGGUUCGAUUCCCGGCGCCUCCACCA